GUCUACGGCCAUACCACCCUGAACACACCCGAUCUCAUCUGAUCUCAGAAGCUAAGCAGGGUCGGGCAUGGUUAGUACUGGAUGGGAGAGCGCCUGGGAAUACAGGUGCUGUAGGCUUA
rnacentral:rRNA from 1 species